rnacentral:rRNA from 1 species
UAUUGCACAAUGGGGGAAACCCUGAUGCAGCGACGCCGCGUGAGCGAAGAAGUAUUUCGGUAUGUAAAGCUCUAUCAGCAGGGGAGAAGAUGACGGUACCUGACUAAGAAGCUCCGGCUAAAUACGUGCCAGCAGCCGCGGUAAUACGUAUGGAGCAAGCGUUAUCCGGAUUUACUGGGGGUAAAGGGAGCGUAGGCGGCCUGGCAAGUCUGGUGGGAAAUACCGGGGCCCAAACCCGGGACUGCAUUGGAAACUGCCAGGCUGGAGUGUCGGAGGGGCAGGCGGAAUUCCUAGUGUAGCGGUGAAAUGGGUAGAUAUUAGGAAGAACACCGGUGGCGAAGGCGGCCUGCUGGACGACAACUGACGCUGAGGCUCGAAAGCGUGGGGAGCAGACAGG